GAUGAACGCUGACAGAAUGCUUAACACAUCAGCAAUUGAUUGGUGGCGGACGGGUAAGCAACGAGUCAAGAACUGGACUCACAGCUAGGGGCAAGAUGUAGAAAUGAAUGCUAAGACCUUAUACUGUGAGAGAGCUGUGCGUCCCAUUAGCUAGUGGGGGAGGUAACAGCUCACCAAUGCGAUGAUGGGUAGCCGGCCUGCGAGGGUGACCGGCCACAAUGGGACUGAGACACCGCCCUUACUCCGUCGGGAGGCAGCAGUGGGGAAUAUUGGACACUGGACCGAAGUCUGAUCCAGCAAUUCUGUGUGCACAAUGAAGUUUUCGGAAUGUAAAGUGCUUUCAGUUGGGAAGCGGUACCAACAGAAGAAGUGACGGCUAACUACGUGCCAGCAGCCGCGGUAAUUC
rnacentral:rRNA from 1 species